CAAUGAAUUCUUUAUUGCUGCUGUAGAUUGUUCAGUUAACUAAAUUUCUGUGGCCCAAUUGUUUUUCAGUCAAACCAUCUGGACCUGGUGUAUGCAGGAGACAACUCUGGGUAGCCACCAGCAUACUUGAUCCUAGGGCUACCCUGCUUAGAAGAAAGCUGAAACAGACUCAGCAAUGCUUUGCUGUCUUGGCUUUCAGGGUUGUUGACUCAGCUGACUUCCUAGAUGCUUGUUUUAACCCACCCUUCCCACCAGAACUCCCUGUCUUGGUGCUUCACUGACAAGAGUUAAUAGUAAGGAAGACCCCCUUAAUUAAAUCAUAUAAAGGCAUUGAGUGGUUCUAUGCCUUUCAAGAACUUCAUCUCAAGACAGUUCCCUGUAUCAGGUGGCCAAGUGAAAAGAUACAUCAGCACUAGACGAUUUUCUUAACUUGGAAAAAUGUUAAUUAUCUCAGAGGCAUGAUUUUCUUUUGUCUUUUCAGAUGACUACUGUUCAAUCUGUCACCCCAAGAGUCUAAAAAAAACUCAUAUCCUGAACACACACACACACACACGUGAUGAUGCAUCAUUAUUAAU
rnacentral:lncRNA from 1 species